CCUAGCAUAUGUGACUAUGUCUGCUCCCUAAGAGUAUGGUGAGUGUGGGAACAGAGGAGCAAAGAUAGAUGGAAGGAAUGAACCCAGAACUCAGUCAAUAAGCCAUUUAUUUAUGCAACAAGAGGUUACUAUCCUGCCUUUCUUCUAACUCUGUCGAACAAUAAACCGGACCUCAAAGAAUUCCUCCCAGAAGAAGAGACAAUUCAAAAGUAAGUGUAGGACAGGUUGGCAGGAACCAUGAGAGGGAGGCAGGUGAGCCAGGAUGGAUGGCAGGAUUCUCACAAAGGUGGGGAGGUGACCUUAAGCUGAGUUCUCAAGGAAAAGGAGGGCUGGAUGUGACUCAGCGGUAGGGCACUUACCUAGCGUGUGCAAGGUAUUGUGUUCAAUCCCUAGCACUGUAAAAGGAAAACAAAUGGCAAAAUAAUGGCAGUCUAAAUUGUAAUACCAUGUUUCAGUUAGAUCUUUCCUGCAAGAGGCAAGGAAAAUGGUCUGAGAUCCCUUACGUUCAGGCUUUUAUGGCUCUCUAUGAAAAACAAAGCCUUUGCAAAGGCCCAGGUGAUACUGCCUUUAAAAAGACUCCUGAGCUUGAUAUCAUAAAUGACCCACUCUUCAGGUAGCCACCUGUCUUCCAGGGGGAUUUUUUUUUUUUAAUGGUGACAGUUUAUUUGAAGAAGUAAAAGUGAAGAGUGAGGGAAAAACUGGCUCUGCAGAGAGAGCUUGGGCAAAGUGAAAGAAGCAAAAGCAAGAUAAAAAUACACUCUGGAGGACACAGGGUGGACUAUCAUGAGGAAAACCAUGAUAGUGAGCCCUUCUUGGCAUCUGUGUCCUUUUAUGGCAUCCAAACCUUGAGGAAAUCCUUGAGAACUUCUACAUAUGGGUCCUGAGAGGUGGUGUGAGAUCUCACAAUGCCUUUCCUCACAGCCAGUCUAAGUCAAGCCCUAUCUCCUAUCUUAUUUCUUCUAAGACACAAAUCCCCAUAAUUCUUUAUGGCCUGCUGAAGGAGUGAGAGUCUCUUGUCUUCUGUACUUUCUUCAAACUAGAAGGGGCUGUAGACCCUACCAACUGGGAAUUAUGGGGUCUCCAACUACCUUGGAAUGCUGUGGCUCAUUGGUCCGGGGCGGGGGGGAUUUUGACCCAUUACAGCUAUUUAUGGAGGGAGGCCAACCUAGGGGAACACGACCUUCUUCUUGUAAUCCUCAGGGCAAUGCACGAGCGCCACGCUCUCCAAGUGCCUCAGAAACUCGGUGGCUAGUUCCCCAAAGAGACAAAAUUCCCAUCAGUCACUGCCCAGGCCAUAUUCUGUACCAAGCAAUUCAUGGUACUAGACAAUUGCCUGUCUCACAGAAAGGGGCUGAGCCAGCCAAAACACUCACCACCUGUUCUGAUGAAGAGAACUGAAAGGUCCUUGGGAAAGCCACAGUGCCAGUCCAUGGAUAUCUCUAUCACUUGCAAGAAGCCCUGGGUGAUCCUGGGCAUUAUGACUAAGCUUCUUGAUUCUUUAUUAAUACAUGGGCAACUUACUCUGUUUUAACUUACUUCUCUGGUAAAGCCUCCUCUAGAUCUACAGCCAUAAUUAGGGUAGAAGGAAGCUCUGGUCCAAGCUUCUUUGCUCCUGCCAUUCAAAUAUUUAACCAUGAGGGUGGGGAUUUAGCUCAGUGGUGCUACUGCCUGCCUUGCAAAUGCAAGGUCCUGAGUUUGAUCCCCAGUACCAAAAUAUUUAACCAUGAAUUCCUACUGCCCCACUAUGCCCUACUCUCUUUUUUGUGAUGAUAUAUUAUUUUUUUAUUUUGGGGGAUCAGGGUCUCGCUAUGUAGUUCAGACUGGCCUUGAACUCACUAUGUAGCCCAGGCUGGGUUGAAACUUGCAGCAAUCCUGCCUCAGCCUCCCGAGUACUGAGAUUACAGGCGUGUACCACCUCACUUGGUUUAAAAUGUUUUAAUGUAUUCUUCUCAUUCUUCUUUCAAACUGUGACUCAUGACUCAUACCAUGUGAAAUUAAGUGGUAUGCCUACCUUGAAAUAGUCUGUUCUGCCUACAUAGAUGAUUUUGCCUUAGGAAGCAUGUGCCUGGGAAGGGGAAUAGAGUAAAAAGAUAGCUGAAGGUUUUAGCUCCUGUCCAGCCAGAACCUAGAUUCUGCUCACCAAGAAAUCAGGGGAAUCUGUGUAGGGUCGGACUUUUCUCUUUCCUUUCUUCCUUUUCUUUUCCUUCCAUCUUUCCCCUUCUUCCUUAUUCCUUUUCUUUCUCCACUUUCCUUCCUUCCUUUUCCUUUUUAUAGUACUACAGAUUAGUGCUCACUUCGGCAGCACAUAUACUAAAAUAUAGUACUACAGAUUGAACCCAAGGAAGCUACAACCCCAACCCUUUUCUUAUUUUUUACUUCAAGACAGAAAUUACUCCUUAAAUUGCUAAAUUGUCUCUGGGCAUGGUGGCGGAUGCCUGUAAUCCCAGCACUUGGGAAGCAGAGGCAGGUGGAUCACUGCAAGUUUGAGGCCUGCCUGGGCCAUAUAGUGAGUUCAGGGCCAGCCUGAACUAGAAACCAAGACCCUGUCUCAAAAAACCAAAACCAAAACCAAACAAAAAGAUUGCUAAAUUGUCUCAGCUGGGCUUGAACUUGCACAGCUUCUGCCUCAGCUUCCUAGAGUACUAGGAUUAAAGGUGUGCACCACCGCAUCUGGCUAAGGUUGAGCUUUUCCAAAAAAAUUUGGGGGCCCUCUUUUGAGACAGGUUCUCAAUAUGUAGCCCAGGCUGGCCUCAAACUCACAGAGCUCCUCCUGCCUCAGCCUCCUGAGUGCUGGGAGUACAGGUGUGCACCACCACACCUGGCACUAAGAAUCAUUAAAUGAGGUGAUGAAUUCAUCACUGUGGACUCUGAAACAUGAACAAUUUUAUGGAGAAAUAUGUUUAAUUGACAUUAUAUCAAACACCAAAGGGUGUCCUUAGCUUAGAUUCUAGUUUCUUUUCACAUUUGAAUAGCUUUCCCUUUUGCAAAAGGGUGUGUAUAGAUGGCACUUUCCCUUUGCAAAAAAGCCUUCCCAACAUCAAAUAGCACUUGGUCACCAGCCACAUGGGGUUUUGUCCCUAUUUGACAAGUGAAGGCCUGAGAUGCAGAUACGUCAUUUGACUUUCAGGGAGGAAAAAGCAGGCCCAGAUUCACAAUGGGACUGCAGCCUCCACACCCAGGGAUCUUGCUCUACUCCCGUAUUGGAAAGAGAUUUCCUAUUACAAUUGGGGCUGUUUGACAAUUCUGAAAACAGUUACAACAAAUUUUGCCUCUCAAGGCUGUAUCAAACCUCCCUGACUCAAUUAGUCAGCAGGUAGAUCCUGCUGCAUAGUAUGAUGGCACUUCCCGAAGAGCAAAAUCAGUAAUAACAGUAGCUAUAAAACCAAAAAGUCUCAAUUUUCCAAGCAAAGAAAAGGCCCAUAAAUCUCAGCCUCAAACAUCAAAUGUUUCAAACAAAACCUUCUAUAACCUUAUCCAUCCCCUUCCGACACUCUCAUUCUCCCAGAAGUAAACACCCCCAGAAGAAUACUGGAUGGUAUGACUUCCAUUUCAUUAAUGGGACAGUAAUUCCAAUCCACCCUCUACCAGCAGUGGCUGAUCCAUAUUCAACACUAUCCAAAAUUCCAGAAGACACAAAUUGGUUCUCAGUCUCCAAUCUAAAGAAUGCUUUCUUUUCUAUUCCUUUACACUCAGACUCCCAAUUCCUGUUUGCCUUUGAAUGGGAAAACCCCAUCACAAAAGAAAAACAAUAUAUUUGAACAGUGUUCCCACAGGACUUUAGGGGACCCCCGUCUUUUUGCC
ensembl:lncRNA